GAGGAAAGCGGGAGGCGUGCUUAACACAUGCAAGUCGAACGGAAAGGCCCUGCGUUUGUGGGGUGCUCGAGUGGCGAACGGGUGAGUAACACGUGAGUAACCUGCCCUUGACUUUGGGAUAACUUCAGGAAACUGGGGCUAAUAUCGGAUAGGAGCUCCUGCUGCAUGGUGGGGGUUGGAAAGUUUCGGCGGUUGGGGAUGGACUCGCGGCUUAUCAGCUUGUUGGUGGGGUAGUGGCUUACCAAGGCUUUGACGGGUAGCCGGCCUGAGAGGGUGACCGGCCACAUUGGGACUGAGAGACGGACCAGACUCCUACGUGAGGCAGCAGUGGGGAGUAUGACACAACGAGCGGGAGCCUGAGACAGCAGCGCCCCGUGCGGGAUGACGUCCUUCGGGGUAUAAACCGCUUUCGCCUGUGACGAAGCGUGAGUGACGGUAAUGGGUAAAGAAGCACCGGCUAACUACGUG
rnacentral:rRNA from 1 species